rnacentral:rRNA from 1 species
UACAGAGGGGGCAAGCGUUGUUCGGAAUUACUGGGCGUAAAGGGCGCGUAGGCGGCCAACUAAGUCGGACGUGAAAUCCCCGGGCUCAACCCGGGAACUGCGUCCGAUACUGGAUGGCUUGAAUCCGGGAGAGGGAUGUGGAAUUCCAGGUGUAGCGGUGAAAUGCGUAGAUAUCCGGAGGAACACCGGUGGCGAAGGCGGCUUCCUGGACCGAUACUGACGCUGAGGCGCGAAAGCUAGGGGAGCAAACGGG